AACGCACAUUGCGCCCCCUGGUAUUCCGGGGGGCAUGCCUGUUCGAGCGUCAUUUCACCACUCAAGCCUCGCUUGGUAUUGGGCAGUCGCGAGUCUCUCGCGCGCCUCAAAGUCUCCGGCUGAGGGUCUUCUGUCUCCCAGCGUUGUGGAAACUAUUCGCUAGAGGAUGUUCGAGUCGUCGCGGCCGUAAAAUCCUUUCUAAGGUUGACCUCGGAUCAGGUAGGGAUACCCGCUGAACUUAA
rnacentral:misc_RNA from 1 species